rnacentral:rRNA from 1 species
CCUACGGGGGGCAGCAGUGAGGAAUAUUGGUCAAUGGGCGCGAGCCUGAACCAGCCAAGUAGCGUGAAGGAUGACUGCCUUACGGGCGUUAACCUUCUUUUAUAAAGGAAUAAAGUGAGGCACGUGUGCCUUUUUGUAUGUACUUUAUGAAUAAGGAUCGGCUAACUCCGUUCCAUCAGCCGCGGUAAUACGGAGGAUCCGAGCGUUAUCCGGAUUUAUUGGGUUUAAAGGGAACGUAGAUGGGUUGUUAAGUCAGUUGUGAAAUUUUGCGGCUCAACCGUAAAAUUGCAAUUGAUACUGGCAGUCUUGAGUACAGUUGAGGUAGGCGGAAUUCGUGGUGUAGCGGUGAAAUGCUUAGAUAUCACGAAGAACUCCGAUUGCGAAGGCAGCUUACUAAACUGCCACUGACAUUGAUGCUCGAAAGUGUGGGUAUCAAACAGGAUUAGAUACCCUUGUAGUC